rnacentral:lncRNA from 1 species
GUGCUGGAUGACCUUCGAAAAAUUAGGCCAAUAAAUUAACAUUAUCUUCAUGUGUCUUUGACCAGUACCGUAUUUGGCGAAAAAAUCAGUUCCAAUUUUUGGCCUGAUCGGCGGGCAAAAAAUAAUUCUACAAGUUCAGAGAGAGAUCAGAUAAUGUUUUGAAGAUGUGAUAUCAUCUAGAUAGACGCCAGCGCGACUUUUGGCGCAGGCGCUUAAUUUUCGGAAAUUUUUUUCACUACCGUAUAGGUUACAAGAGCGCAAUUAUUUGUUUACAUUUAACCGGCAAGUUUUUUUACCCCAAGAUGGUACUCAGAAUAGAAUCCGAUACGGCUUCUGAUUGGUUGAUACAGGAUUGGAAUUACAUUUAAUCGAAAGCUUAUCCAAUUAGGUUUAAAAAUUGCCGAAAAUCAUAUUCACAUUUUACGAAGUAUAGAAAAUAUCUUCAAUUUCUGCACGUCGGAGCCAUUAAAAAUA